rnacentral:lncRNA from 1 species
UCCAGAUUUACACGAUGCCGAUAAUGACGCCAUUGUAUGGAAGUAACUGUUACUGUUUUCUCCCUCGUUUAAUUUUACUGUGACUUACGUUUCUUUAUUCAUACCAGUCUUUUUAAUUGUUUUCCAGCUGCCUGUAAGACAUUACGAGACAGUACGCAGGACAACAAACAAGCAGAUCUUGCAUCGCAGGCGGACGCUGUGAGGAGUUCAGCUCGGAGUCGAUCGAGGACAAAGAGGUGCAUCGUGCAGUACUGAUCGUCUUUAGUGAUGCUGGAAGCGAGACAGAGAGCUAGCUGAGGAUGAGGUGGACCUUUGGAAGUGCGCCGCCAUGGACCUGAUGUCUGAGGAGGAAGACGGCACAA